UAAAGGAGGAAAAUAAAAUAAGAAUAUUGCAGAUGCUGAAGGAAAGAAAGAUUCAGUCUGUCAAAGUCUUUAGGGCUCCUUCCAAAGACACGGAGUCUUGAUUUGGAUACGCUCUAACAUUUGUCCGUACAGAUAAUUCAUACUAAAGAUUUAACCGGAAACCAAAGCCAUGGAAAUGUCCAACGAUCUCGAUAGGUUGCUCUUUUUCGAGCAAGCUCGUAAAAUUUCCGAGGCUACUUACGCUUCCAAUCCUCUCGAUGCCGAUAAUUUGACCAGAUGGGCCGGAGCUUUACUGGAGUUGUCUCAGUUUCAAAGCGUUCCAGAUUCUCAGAAAAUGAUUCAAGAUGCUAUUUCGAAACUAGAGGAGGCUUUAUCUAUUAACCCUAGAAAGCAUGAUGCUUUAUGGUGCUUGGGAAAUGCUCAGACUUCUUUUGCGUUUCUGACUAACAAGGAGGACGAGGCAAGGCCUUAUUUCGAAAAGGCUGCUCAAUAUUUCCAGCAAGCAGUCGAUGAGGACCCGAGCAAUGACAUUUACCUUAAGUCUUUAGAAAUAUCUGCCAAGGCUCCAGAAUUACACCAGGAAAUCAUUAAGCAUGGUUUAGGUCAACAGACGCUUGGGGCUGGACCUUCUACUUCUACUUCCUCCAAUUCAACAAAGACUGCUACAAAGAAUAAGACCAGCAGUGAUCUCAAAUAUGACAUAUGUGGAUGGAUAAUCCUUGCUGUCGGCAUUGUUGCAUGGGUUGGGUUUGCAAAAUCACAAAUGCCACCCUCCCCACCGCCACCACCCCCGCGAUAAGCGACCACAUCAACAUUCUCCCGAGUGAUUCAGACAGCCUUCAUCCUUUUGAGUCGAGACAUUUGAAGGAAAUUUGAGAACUGUUUUGCUUUCGGUGGUUCAUACCUAAGAAUUUGAUAUGGUUUUGCAUCCAUCAACAAUCCAGCCAACCCCACGGCAGUUCUACCGCUAGUUUUACGAGCCUCGUGGCGGCAUAGUCUCCUAGUUGGCAGGUGAGCAUGCUGUAGUUUAGGCUUGGUUUUCGAGCCCUUGUACUGCCUCGUGUAUAUUUUGGGCUCGUUGAACUCUGUGUUUACACCUGUUUCAUUGUACAUUUUUUCAAUUUAAGAGAGAGAAAUUCUUUUAAA